rnacentral:rRNA from 1 species
UCGCUUCAACCGAUUGGAUGAUCCGGCAAAUUCUACGGACUUAUCGGUUGCUUCGGCGUACCGAAUUGGAAGUAGCGUGAGCCUUAUCAUCUAGAGGAUGAAG